CCAACAGGGAUUGCCCUAGUAACGGCGAGUGCAAGCGGCAACAGCUCAAAUUUGAAAUCUGGCUCUUUUAGAGUCCGAGUUGUAAUUUGCAGAGGGCGCUUUGGCUUUGGCAGCGGUCCAAGUUCCUUGGAACAGGACGUCACAGAGGGUGAGAAUCCCGUACGUGGUCGCUAGCUAUUGCCGUGUAAAGCCCCUUCGACGAGUCGAGUUGUUUGGGAAUGCAGCUCUAAAUGGGAGGUAAAUUUCUUCUAAAGCUAAAUACUGGCCAGAGACCGAUAGCGCACAAGUAGAGUGAUCGAAAGAUGAAAAGCACUUUGGAAAGAGAGUCAAACAGCACGUGAAAUUGUUGAAAGGGAAGCGCUUGCAGCCAGACUUGCUUGCAGUUGCUCAUCCGGGCUCUUUUGCCCGGUGCAUUCUUCUGCAGGCAGGCCAGCAUCAGUUUGGGCGGUGGGAUAAAGGUCUCUGUCACGUACCUCUCUUCGGGGAGGCCUUAUAGGGGAGACGACAUACCACCAGCCUGGACUGAGGUCCGCGCAUUUAUGCUAGGAUGCUGGCGUAAUGGCUGUAAGCGGCCCGUCUUGAAACACGGACCAAGGAGUCUAACAUCUAUGCGAGUGUUUGGGUGUCAAGCCCGAACGCGUAAUGAAAGUGAACGGAGGUGGGAACCCGCAAGGGUGCACCAUCGACCGAUCCUGAUGUCUUCGGAAGGAUUUGAGUAAGAGCAUGGCUGUUGGGACCCGAAAGAUGGUGAACUAUGCUUGAAUAGGGUGAAGCCAGAGGAAACUCUGGUGGAGGCUCGCAGCGGUUCUGACGUGCAAAUCGAUCGUCAAAUUUGGGCAUAGGGGCGAAAGACUAAUCGAACUAUCUAGUAGCU
rnacentral:rRNA from 1 species